ensembl:lncRNA
CAGCCCCGGGGAGGGACAGGACCAAGGCUGGGCCAGUCAUGGGACUCCGCCUGCCCCCGGCCUCUGUGAUUGGUCUAGGGUUGAAGAAACACAGGUGCUGAGCCAAUCGGGACCCUUCACCAAGUUUUUGCUGAAUGGAGUUGGGCAAGAUGACCCCUUUUUGCUCUACUAGUGAAGUUCAAAAGAUGUCAGCAAAGAACUGCCUGCAAGUUUGGUUCUAGCCCCUCAGAGAAGACUGGCACUCGCAGGAGAGAGUGGAGGCCCCAUCCCGGAGACGCUAAUUGGGUUUCUGUCGCUUGUGACCAAAGGAGUCUUGGCUAGUAUAGAAGUUGCUUCUAGCCACUGAGGUCGCCAGAUCUAAUCCCAAAGCUAGCACGGUCAGACGUUCUUUCGAUUUGGAUGUAUCCUGUUACCAUCUCCGUUCUUCAGAUAAUGUUCCCAAUGUCACACAGCUCGUGAGUGGCAGAGCCCAGACGCAAGCUGCACUAAGAUGCCAAAGCAUGGCUCCUGACCUCCACGCUGCGCAGGCCCCAGGCUGCUCGUGAGGCAGCUGAGUUCUAGCACAGAGUUCAUCCCCGUGACCUCAUUGCACCACCCUGCAGAGUUAAUACAAUUGCACUCCUCACCUCUGCACCCCUCGUAUGUGCGUCUAGAAAAGCAUGGUUGCAGGGGGUCUGUCUCCCUCUGGAAAUACUGUUCUCCUUCUCCCCCUAAGCUUAGUCAGCACUGCAGUGGGACUCAGGGGGUGUUCAAUAAAUCCUGGCUGAGCUAAUUUUCCAGAUGAAGAUGCUCAAGGCUCAGGAAGGUCAGGUGGAUUGCCUGGACUGCACACUGCUGGGUGCCCUAAUGUGAGCUCAGCCAGGUCUCUGAUUCCAUAUAACACGCUCUUUCCUCCUCCCUACCUCCCUACCACCCUACCAGUUUUCUGUGUAGACCUCCCCGUGGAAGAAAUAACUCAAUUUGAACAAUUCUUGUCUCAGAGGCAUAGAGAAGCGGCCAUGAUAAUUUUUUAAAUUCUCAAGAACUCUCUGCUUACAAAAGCGUCUUUAAUCAUCUGUCACUGGUCUAAUGACAGGCACCUGCAACUCUAUGUAAAAAUUCCUUUCCCUCUAAUAUCCUUCCCCAUAAAAAUGCAAAUAUGUACGCUAAGGGGAAGAGUAACACACUGAGCUUUUCCAAGUUAGUCAUACUGUGGUGUCAGUAAGUUUGCCCACCCUUCCCAGCAGGAAACUUCGCUGACUUCUGGUUUUUAACAGACUGGAGGAGCGAGCGAAGGGUCCUGCGCCAGGGCACAGAGUGGACACAGCAGUCCAUGUCAUGGGCCCUGAGCAGGGCACGGGCAGGAGGGGCUCAUCAGAAGAAGGCACACCUGGAAGAAAGAGAGGCGGGUUUGGCUUGAGGAGUAGCCACCAAAGCAAGGCUGGAGAGGACUCCAGAAGAGCCGAGUCUCCAGGAACAAGACCCCAUCGUGGCUUAAAAGACAUUGGUAGAUUGAUAAAAUCCCUACCUUCAGCUACCUGAAGUAUCCAGGGUUUCAAAAGGCAAAUAAUUUAAAAUAGAUACCUAGACAAUUAUAACUGUCCACUUCACUCUGGUCUCUGCUUCGCUUACAAAUGUAGGCAUAUUGGUGCAUUGUACCGGAAGUGCUCCAAGACCCUGUCUGUUUCUCUAGCCCCUAUGCUCCGCAUCCUCUGCCUUCCUGGUAUCACA